rnacentral:rRNA from 1 species
AGUGAACGCUGGCGGCAGGCCUAACACAUGCAAGUCGAACGGCAGCACAGGGGAGCUUGCUCCCUGGGUGGCGAGUGGCGGACGGGUGAGGAAUACAUCGGAAUCUACCCUGUCGUGGGGGAUAACGUAGGGAAACUUACGCUAAUACCGCAUACGACCUCCGGGUGAAAGCAGGGGAUCGCAAGACCUUGCGCGAUUGGAUGAGCCGAUGUCCGAUUAGCUAGUUGGCGGGGUAAAGGCCCACCAAGGCGACGAUCGGUAGCUGGUCUGAGAGGAUGAUCAGCCACACUGGAACUGAGACACGGUCCAGACUCCUACGGGAGGCAGCAGUGGGGAAUAUUGGACAAUGGGCGAAAGCCUGAUCCAGCCAUGCCGCGUGGGUGAAGAAGGCCUUCGGGUUGUAAAGCCCUUUUGUUGGGAAAGAAAAACUUUCCGGUUAAUACCCGGAGAGAAUGACGGUACCCAAAGAAUAAGCACCGGCUAACUUCGUG